UUCAGUCCCUUUCUUAACUAAUCCUGUCACUGUAAAAUCCUACAGUCAUUCUUCCACACAUAAAGGGAAAACGGACUCACUAGGAGGACCUAGACUCUUUCAGCUUGAACUGUUAACCAAUGGUGGAAAUGCAAGAAUGCUGAAGUUGUGCCUUCAGAGCCAAUAGAGUGGAUUUGUGUGUCCCACAUGACUGUGUUUCCCCUGUCUUUCACAUGGGCAGUAUUUAGUUCAAUUCAGAACUGCAGAUAGUAUAGCACGCAGAGCAGCAAUGGGAUGUCUGAGCACAAGUGGCUGACUUCCAGGCGACUUCAAGAAGCACAUUUGCACAUUUAUCCUGAAUUAAACUGGAAUUCUGCACCCUUGACAUCCUCCUACUCUCCUGGUGUCUGCGGAAGGAAACAGCGACCUGCACAGCACAACAAAACUACAAAUCAUCAGUGAUCUACAGACAAGCAAACGAAGUGAGCUGAGGGCAAUUUAACUACCGCCUUCUGUGUCAGUUCCCCAGAAGUCAAUGAGGCAUACUAUCGGGUCUCCAAGAGAGAGAAAGAGAGAGAAGUUUCGGCAAGUUUUUAUUGUGUGUUAUAAAGAGAGGUAUGUCCACAUUAUUUUUAUUUGCCUUUGGGGAAGGAGUUCGUGGCAAAUGAAAGAGGAGGAGAAGUCUUAGGCAGCGGUUGUUUUUCUUUUUUGCAGAUAGAUAGUAGUCUGAUAGUUAAGACUUGCACAGAAUAUUGAAAACCCAGGUUUCCAGGCCUUUCUCCAAAACUAACAGGACUCGGACAUUCCACAGCACACCAAAAACACCAGGCUAUCAACCAUUCUGGGGCAGCAAGGGGUCUUUUUUCUUUUCCUCAUGCAAAAGGCCUUCCCAGAAAAAUGUCCAUUGAAAAAUGUUACUUUAAGACAUCUUAGGUUUUCCCCACAGGAGGAAAAAGAGAUUAAAUUUUCAACCAGUUAGUUGCAGUUUUGUUUAUGCCUCUAAACAAGAGGGGAAAACCUCUAGCUUAAUGAGAAAAAAAAAUCCAAAUAUUCUCUCUACAAAGUUCUAGUAAUACCUUUAAUCAUAUUACAAGCUUAAUGCAUUACAUUAAUUCGUUCAAUUAACACAGUUGGACUUUAAGAUCAAACAGAGAAGAAAGAAGACUGAGAUCCAACAAAAGUGUGCUAUAAACAUACUGUUUAAGACAUGCCAAGUAUUAUUUUAUGCUUGAACCCCAACAAAAGGCUUUCCCCCUCAGACAGUUGGUGUUUUGUCUUCCUUGUUGUUAUUUUUAUUGUUAAGUGGUCACAUAUCAGUUCUACUGCUUUGUUAAAAGCACUCUAAUUUCUUAACUCUGUGCAUAAUAGUUCUUAGGACACACUUUCUUGUGAUGGUAAUAGUUGAGAACAAACUAUUUUACAGAAGAUCACAAGCAUCAGAAUGAAGUACACACUGGGCAGACCUAUCACAACAGUAGUACACAAAAAACUGCAGUGUUUGGUAUUCUUUUCUGCUCUGAAGGGUCUCAUGUCAGGUAGCGUAAACUAACUCACUUUCUUUGCUGUUGAAUGACUUUUCCUAGCACACUUCAUUUUAAUGCAGUUUACAUUUUAAAGAUCUGGAAAGACAGCUGCAGCCAUCUAAGGGCCAUGUAAAAUGCAGCUGUUACACACACUAUGGGACAAAGGCAACCAGUUUGGAGGACUCCUAUAUCUUCCCUUCCUCACAUACCCAACUAAACUCCAUUAUAAUUGGUGCAGUAUGAAGAAACUAGAAGAGGGCUAAUUGAGUUUAAAAGCUAUACAGUUGCAGCCUCAUUUAGGAAAUGCCUCCAGGCUUUCUCAAACAUUUAGUAAUACAACUAGAUCACAAAGCAAAGCGAAUAUUCAACUCUACAUACUCAAAAGGCAUAACAAAAAAAAUCCUUUUCUCUGUAUUAAGCCCGCACAAUCUUCUCCAACAAAGUACUUCUAGGAAUUUGAGAAUCAUCUCCUUUUUUUGUAUCCUGCAGGCUGAGCUGUAUACUGUUGACAGUGACUACAAAUGUAUGUUGCAAUAAUACAUCAUCAAGUGAAAUCAAGACCCUAUUUCAUUAGAUCUUGUUUAAAUAACUAUGCACAGGCAUAUAAUAUAUGUGAUUUUCUAGAAGAAAUGGCCACAGAUAGUUUGGGAACAGAAAAACUGUCCCUUGAUUCUCGAAGGGACUGAAGCCUAAACCACAUUUCCUGUAACACAAGGUGAUUCCUGUACACCAGAAGAUGACACGCAGCUGACAUGACAUAGGGAGGAAUUGAUAACACUGUGAAUUUCAAAAGCUGAGUUUGGAGAGAAUAACUAUGAAGCUGUUUCAUCCUCCUGCUUUUAUUUAAGCUAGCAUCGCUAAAAACAUUAGCGUUUUGUUUACACUGGAUAGUUCUGAUUGAGGAAGAUAUAGAUGAAAAUGUCACUAGCCCAGCUAUUCUGAAGCUUUCUUUGCUGUAUAUUUUUAAAAACAACACAGAUGAGUGUAAGUCCUAUCAUUCAUCUUUAAAGACAAAGUAAAGAGAAAAUCUAAGGCUGGUAUCAUCAGCAUGCAUCUCAAACCUUUAAACUAGGCCCUUCAGGUGCCAAUGGAGCAUGAACUGCAAUGCAAGCUGUAAAUUCAGUUCUCAGGUGAUGAAUUUAUGCAAGGUUUCCUAUGAUCACGGUUUAUACUGAAUUCAAGCUUUAUUAAGCUUUUACUGCCCUGUAAGAACAGCUCCAUGGAACAGCAGGAGAAACACCAGAGCUAAACAUCUAAAAAUGCUUCCAUAGGUGGUUUUUAAUUCUCCUCCAUAUACACACUGAAAUCUUAACUAUAAAGAAACAAAUUUGAUGAAUAGAAGCUUUUGACCGUUAGUUUAGUUACCAUACAUGUAGCUUUAGGUACUAGAUAAUUCUUCCCUUAUGUAGGAUUCAAGAUGUCAUUAUUAUGCCCUCAAGCCUAAGUGCCAAAUGAUUUUCUUGCUGUCCAAAAGCUAUAACACCACAUCACACAGCAGAAUAGGAAUUUGUAGAAUUCAGUGUUCAUGAUGGCAGCUGGGACUGCACUGCUACAUCAAGAAGGGAAUUGCACUCUCCUCAGAGUUUUAAUUGUUUAAAGAACACACUCAGAGCUUUUACCAGAAAAGUAACAACUAUGCUGGUUUCUUGAAGAAACUUGAGUUCAAAACGCUUACUAGAAAAAAAGUUGUCUAAGUGUAUCUCAUGCUUGCAUGACAUGAAGACUUUGUGUAUGUUCAUUUUCCAUUUAAAACUCAGUUGAGCAUGGAGAAUGGUUUCAGUUCAGAAGUUAUUCAGAAGUUACUUCUUAAAUAGGAAGUUAGUGCUAUACUUAAAUUUUUCUUUUAUUUUUGCAAAACCUUUUACUUAAGUAGAGAUUUUUCCAUUAACUCAUACUCUGAUCUUAAAGUUUGCAAAAACGUUAGCCAUUACUUCUCUCAAGUUGUCUUUUGCAUUCAUGUUAUUCCGUAGAGGGGUUUUGCAGCAAUAAUUGUAAGAAAAUCUAUUCAUUUCCAUUUGACUGAAUCGCGCUGUAUGACAGGGAAGUGACUACUUGCAACCUUGAUCCAUGUCAGCUAAAUACAGCCAGGCAAGCAUAAGUUCUUACCAUAAUGGUUCUCAUGCCCUCUCCAGCUUUUUCCAAAACCCAUAUACACCAUUAGACACACAUUUUUCUUUCCUGUACAGUUAAGGCACAGGAUUGUGGCUUACUAAAAAUUUCAUUAUUAUUCAUCUCUGCUGAUUCCUGUAGGAAUCCUGACUAUAGGCACCAGAUAGUAUUUGAAUACUAUCAUUUUUUUCUGAUCAGCGUGUGCACAUCUUCCUAUCACUUUUAAAUGCUCUCAACUAAACUGUUACUUAAUGCUUCAGCUUUUUAGUUUCCUGUACUUACUAUUCCACUUUUCAGAAGCUGUUUUUUUUCCCCCCUGUUGAUUAUGUUGUUACAGUAGUUUUCAGAGUACGCUUGAGGAGUACAUUCAGUACUGCCUUAAAGGCCAUAAAUUUUCCAUUUGAAGUCUCUGAAGUAAUAUCAGUAAUAGAUAAUGCCACGGUUAAGAGAUCAGUACCAGUCCAGUAUUUGUUUUAUGAUUCUGAUAACGUAAAUGAGGUUGACAGAAAUUAGUUCAUAUGCUGUUCAAAAGCUGAUAGUUUCACAUCUGUUAACAUGGGCGAAGAUAUGACCAUUUCUGAAAUACUUUAACAUUUCAAUUUCAAAAUUUAUUCACGUCCUGAAAUCAUCUGAUAAUUCUGAUCAUUAUGAAGACCAUUAAGAUCAAGAAGAUGGAAGAAAGUUGAUGCAAAUACACUGCAAUUUUUUCUUCACCAUUUACUCUAAGUUUUCUCCUCAGAACAAGUAGAAACUUUUAUAGGUGAAGAUCACAUCCAUGGAAUAAAAACACCAGGCUUUUCUCUCUCUGUCUGCAACACCUCACAAGUACUAGCACUUUGGUUUGUGAGAAGCUGUUACGAUACUCCAAAGCUUUUCCAGGCACUUAUUAUUCUUACAGACACUUCCAGUAGAUUGAAAGUGAUUUCAGCAGCGGUGCUUAAUUUCUAGGUAAAUCCUAGUUUUCUGUGGCUUUCAAAAAUGAGGGGAAGUCGCAGCCUACCAACCAAAACGUUGCCAACAUGGGUGCUAAGAAACCACCAUUUUCCAUAAAACACAAGCAGAACUCCAGUACUCAGUCACUUCCAACAAUAUUUUCAGCAUUCCACAAAUACAAAUUCGAUGGUUUCAGCACAGUAACAUGAGCUCAUUUCAUCUUACAUGGAGAGAAAGACAAAAAAAAAGUUUACCCCCAAAUUCACAUCUCAGUGUGAGUAACAUGUGAUAAACCAUGACCUAUAUUGACAGGGACACAAGUCUGCAAACAGAAUUUGGGAAGUUCAACACAUGAAGUCAAACCUCUCAUUAUUGGAAGUGCUUAAUUUGUCAGUAGUGGAUACACACUAGGCUGUCUUAGUGAGUAUUAAUAAACAUACCGACAAAGUGCAAUCAUGUUCAUCGGAAAGGAUUUUCUAAGUAAUGAUUCCUGUGAUAUAUCAAGGAAAAAAAAUCUAAGGUAGGAACCAAAAGUUCAAGAAAUCUUAUUUUACUGUUUGCGUUACUAUUUCUGUUGUGCUAUCAAGCAAAAAAAUGGAACAAAAAACAGACCUAAGUACAUUGGUAGGAUAAUGAAAGAUGAAACUAGCAAUAAAUAUAAUAGGAGGAAUUUGCACUUGAGUCGAGGUAAUCCCAUAUAUGCAUACAAAAUAGGAGAAAAGCUCCUUCAGAGUAGCCCUGCUGAGAAGGACCUUAAGGGUUCUGGUUGAUGAAAAACUUAAUGUGAACCAUCAGUGUGCACUUGAAACCCAGGAUACCAUUGGUAUUCUGGGCUGCAUCAGAAGAGGGGAGGCCAGCACGGUAAGGGCCGUGUUUGUACCCCUCUAUUUUCCCUUUGUGAUGCCCCAUCUGGAGUACUGCAUCCAAGUCUGAGUCCUCAACACAGAAAAGAUGGGGAGCUGUUGGAGAGGGCCCAGAGGAGGACCACAGAGAUGAUCAGAGGGCUGAAGCACCUCCCCUGUGAAGACAGGCUGAAGGAACCAGGCUUGUUCAGUCUGGACAAGAGAAGGCUACAGAGAGACCUCAUUGCUGCCUUCCAGUAUUUAAAGGGAGUUUAUAAACAUGAGGGAAAUCAACUCUUUGCAAGGGUAGAUAGCAAGAGGACAAGGGGGAUGGUUUUAAACUCAAGGAGGGGAGAUUUAGCUUAGAUAUCAGGGGGAAGUUUUUCACUGAGAGAGUGGUGAGGUGCUGAAACAGGUUGCCCAGAUAGGUUGUAGAUGCUCCAUCCCUGGAGAUGUUUAAGACCAGGUUGGAUGAGGCCCUGGGAACCUGAUAUAGCACUUGAUUUAGCAGCUGGCAGCCCUGCCUGGGGUAGUGGAGGUGGAACUUGACUAUCCUCCCUUUCCAUUCAAGCCAUUCUAUGAUUCUAUCAAAUAAAGAAAAGCCAUGUUUUCACAAAACCUGUAGACCAAAGACCCAAAAUGUGGUUAUUUUACUCUAGACACUUAUGAAUAACAGCAGUAAAUGAAACGAUGAUCUUUACAGUAAAGAAGACGGAAACUGUGCAGCCUUAGAGCACGCUACAAGGUUAUACUAGUUUCAUUUCCUAUUGGAUGUUUAUAGAAAACUUCACCUUUAUAGAUUUUGAGAAACCUGUUCUAGAGGGAGAUGCCCCUGCCUAUAGCGGGGGGUUGGAACUAGAUUGAUCUUAAAGGUCCCUUCCAACCCAGACCAUUCUAUGAUUUACUACUUACAGAUGUAGUUCUAGUUAGGACUACUUGGACUUCCUGACAAAGACAUAUUAUUUAAAGUCACUAAACAUAUCUAUGAAGAGCUCCCUCUGCCUUCUUUCAAAACUAGGAAGUACUGAUUGCACUCAUUCAGAGUGGUUUAAGUGAAAAUUUUCUUCACUCCUAUUCAGAAGGGAAAAAUCACAAGACUGCUGCUUUCACUUGGCCAAUGUACCUUUGUGUAUUUUAUUGACUGCUGUGAUCAGACUUCCUUUCAAAACCAAAGCAGUCAGAUUUCUUUCUGCACAUCCUAGUAAUCGAUUUUGAAAGAUCCCGAGUAGCUAUAUAACUGUACAGGAUCAGGAGAAAAUCAUCUGAUCAUUGCAGAUUUCUAGUAGUUAGGAGACCCUGGAUAACAAAUACCAGAUGAAGACAAAUUUCAAUAAGUAACUUCUGCUAAACCCCAAGCUUCCUAAAUCAAUGCAAUAGCCUUAUUUUCUUCACUUUUAUUCACUUCUGUAUAAAAUAGAUAAAUUUCAUCUUUCUUCUAGCAGAGAAAUAGGCACUGAAUUUUAGGUAUGAUUUUUUUUUUUAAGUGAGAAGAAGGCGGCAUACAUAUGUGCAUGUAUUUACCACACUUGGAGUAUGAAGCUUGUUUCAGAAAACAGUCUUUAAAAAAAAAAAAAACCAACAUUGCUUACCUAUGUCUUUAGCAAAUACAAAUAUUACUAUUUUUUAUUUAUUCACAAAACUAAGUGGAUUUUAAAUUUGUUAGCCCUGUGUGAAUAUUUUAAGAGUCCAUGCACUUAGUCUAAAUUGGAAACAGCUAACAUACCUUGUAUAAUACCAGACUUGUCUACAAUGAGCCAGUCUAAAUGAAAAAAACGCAAUUUACAAAGGCUUCAUUCUUUUGUUUGCAUUCUAGCAGUAUAAUGAAGUAAUGUGUCCUGCUAGAAAUCGUGGAGUACUUAAAACAAGUUCCACUUACAGAGCAUUUCUUCUCUUCUGAAAUACAUACUUAAAAAUGCUUCACAAUUAACAUAUUGUAUACAUUUUGCAAGGCCCUCAAAGAUCAAGAAUUGUAUCUGGAAAGACUCAGUCCAAUCUGGCAAACAAUUACAGCAUACAUUACACUAAGGUGCAUUAAAUGCCUGGCUGCUGUGAGGGUACAGAAACGUGCUUACUCACAAUCGAGUCCAAUAACCAAAACAAAGUCAGUUACAAUUUAAAAUGGAAGUUGAAAAAGAAAAGAAAAAAAGGAGAGACAGGGGAAGGACAACAAGUCUAAAAGGCUGUGGACUUCACACCAGCAGAGUGGAAACAAAUAGAAUAUUAUAGCUGGGAUGCAGUCACAGGACUCUGUGCAACUCUGUUACAGCUCAACACCAAUAGCUUCUGGUGAAAUUAGUUCUGUGUGCUACUUCAGUGAAAGUAUAAAGAACCACAUUCAAAAGCCAGCAGCACAAAGAAAACAUAGUCAUGACUAUUCACAAUAGAGAAUUCUGUACUGAAUGUGUGAACUGGACAUGGGUUAGGCAAAAUGCAAGCAGCCUCCCUUUGCCUGGGAUUUUCGUAGCGAUGCAAGCCAAGCAAUCUAAACAGUAAUGUCUGUCUGUAUUAAGAGGAAGGGAAGAAAUAAAACUCCACAGCAACAAAAACUGCAUUCCCUGUGGAAGAAUGGUAACUUGGGACAACAUUUGGCACCACAAGUUCAAAGGGUCAUUUUAUCAGCAUUCUAAGUAUAGACCCAGAGAUUUUACAGUAUUCCUGUCUCCAUGCUAUUGCUUUUUAUGCCAUUCAUGGCGUUUAAAUUAUAGACCCACUGCAGCCAUGUAGUCAAAACAACACAUCAUCUGAUGAGACACUAUUAUAAUGUCAGUGUGCCUGUUUUAACUGUUCUUUCAUAUACUGUACUUCUCAUCAAUCACUCUCUUUCUCUGCCAAAAAAUGGAUACAAGAGACGAUUUUAUCUUCAGACUCCACUGAAAUUUUGUACUCCGACAACUGCAAUACUUCGUUCAUCACAUAAUCUAAACUCCCAUUUACACUCAUGAAAUAUUUAGAGGUACAAAUAAUACCAGGCUAGAUGAAAAACCAUUUGUGGAGAAUUUAAACUGCAAAUCCAGGGUAUUUUUAGGGAGUCAGUUUAAUUGAAGCACAUUACACUAACUUCUAAACUAAACGCCUGAUCAAGUAUUUUUAGUGUGUGGUUUCAGUAUACAUUCCAAAUCUACUGGAACACUAUAUUCUAGAGGCAAGUUAUUGGCCUGUACACACACAUAGUUAUAUAGCACUUUGACAGCAUCUUUAACAGGAAUAUAUUCCAUUUCUAAACUGUUCUGUGACAGAAUUUGAACUUUUCCUAAAUGAUCCUGAAAAGUUAAAAUAACUCAUAUGAAGUCAUUAAUGGAGCUACAUACAGAAUCCAAAUUUGGUCUUGUGUUUAAAGCUUUUUCUUCUCAAAAGUGAAAAGAAAGCUGCUUCAAGGUCACAAAACAUUAUUUUUGGGGUGGGGGGGGGCAGGGAGGGAAGGGUAGUUCUGCUCCUUUAAGCUGGUCUCCUGUCUCUGCUGGCAGCCCUCAAACAGCUAGCUCCAUUCAACAUGAAAGAGAUUAUUUAAGAAUGCUCUAAAUUUCCUAAUGUUUCCUAUUUUCUGCAAUUCCACAUAUGUGCUAUUCAUCAGCUCAAACAUUCAAAUCUCAAUGUUGUGUUUUAAAGUAUUUUCACUAAGAAAUAAAAAAAAGGUUUUUAAACUGCAGCUGAACAACAGUUUUAUUGACAUAUUUCUAAUGCCUUAUGCAAAUGAUUUUUUGCUGAUUGAAUGUAUAGUUUCAACUCAGAGGAGCUAAGUAUCAGGAAUCCAUUCAGUUUUUUGAGCAUGUAGCCAACUUACCAAUCCUAACUACAGCAACUGAAUAUAUUCCACAGUUCAGUUGAGCUUUUACAUUUUUUUUUUCCAUGGGGCUGGGGAGGCAGCAUACUUUCUCCCCCUGGAGUGUUGAAAUCAUUUCCAUUACAAAGGAAAACCGUUUUUGAUACUUUACAACUGACCUUGCUAGUUUUAUUCUACUAUUUUUCCCCUACAAUUUCAUGUCUUUUUCUCUUCCUUUGCACUCCAUUUUAAACUUCAUCCAAAGAUUACAAUUGCACAGAAGAGUAUAAAAGCAAAAUAAAACUCCCCCAGCCCUUCUCAAAAUGAAAUACAUUACAGGUGCUGGAGAAAGUUAUGCAGACGUGAAGAUCUCAGACCACAUUCUUUUUUCCUUAAACAAAAGCUCUCAAACAGCUGACAGAAACACGCAGAAGUAGAUCUACUUUUUAAAGUCUUGGGCUGUUUGAAAUAUUUUUACUGACAAGUGCUUCUGACUAAGUUCCACAAAGCCUUACUGAAGCAUACUGAGAAUGGUUGAGAUUAGACACUCCUGAAUUAAGUGAGAUUGGAAAGGACCCCAGUGCCUUCGCUAGUCCAAAGUCCUGCUUAAACCAGUGCAAAAUCUGACAUCAUCCUGUGCUGGCAGCUCAUCUAACCAUAUUUUAAAAAUUGCCAAGGAUGGAGAGAUGUUUUUCUUGGUGUUCAACUCCUUCAGUUCAAGGGGAAUUUACCCUUCAACUAACUGUAUAAAUACAAGGUAUUCUCUUCAGAUGCCUGACCUGCUUUAAAAGCCAUGGUUUUAAAAGACCACCACAUGCCCAUAAUUUACAUUUCACAUGUAAGAAGAGAGAGGUUACUGGAUGAAUACUAGAAUAUUGUAUCCUGUAUCUUCUCUAAUAUCAGGUCCAUUUUUGAUCUUACUGAUGUGCUUCUGUUGACAUCGUCAGUAAAAAUUCAUAGUUGUGGCACAAAAACAGGGAGAAGACUGCAUUUAAACACAAACCAAAACCAAAUGAGAAUGAUCUGCACCCUCUGCAUCCCUUCUUACGAACCAGCAAGAUGUUUAUACUUAGUUUGCUCUGAAAGUAAUGCCUCCUACUUCAUUCCACAGAAAUUACAGGAGAUACGAAGAGCACAAUAACUAUCUGAUAGAGCCAAGUUUCAGCUACUAAACACCAUUUUUAACACAGUCUCCACCAUUUGCUAUGCAUUUUUGCCAGCAAUGAAUAAGAGCCUGAAUGCUUCAGUUGUAAAAACCAGCACCAGCAGAAGUGUCCCACUGUUUCACAGCUGCUAUGACAUCAUUGCUAGGAAAACACCAACACAGUCCAUCUUUCACUGGCCUGAACAGAUGGAAUUCAGAAGGUGACAAAUCCAGACUGUACUGUGGGUGUGGUAGGACAGUGCAGCCAAGAUUGACAAUGCUCUCCAUUGCUCCAUUGUCUUCAAACUGGUAUAGGGCCUCAUCGGAUUGAGUUACAAGAAAAAGGUUGUCUUCUUCUCUAGCCUGACUCAGGAAGUUCAAGUCCUCAGCUUAGUCAGCGUCACGAUGCAGCAGUCAGCACUGAUGGUUUAGCCAGGUUACAAAAAAUGCAAAAUGAUCAUCCCUUUCCUAUCCCAAAAGACAGGCACAUCACUUUACCCACUAAGGGCUGUAUCUGGAACAUUUUUUUCAAUGGGGAAUUUCAAUGUCCACUCGAUGGACUGCCAUUUUGACCUCAGCUCAUAGAGGUGACAGCAGGUCUCAUCACUGGUAAUGGUGUGACCCAGAAAACUCAUCUUCAGCCUCACUUUGGUUCAAUAGGUCCUGAAAAAUUUGCAUACAUGUUCUUUCUAUUGUUGUGUGUGCAUUCGUGGCACCCAUCUGGCACAAAUACUGCAAUACUUCAACAUUGCCACCAUCAUUUCUAAUACACUAAAAGCUCAUAUUCAGCUCCAUACCCGGGUCCCCACUCCUAAUCCACUGAUUCACCCAGAUGAGCUGAUCAAGAUCUAGAUUCCUCCUACAUGGAGGAAUUCAAAGACACACCUUUGCUUCAUACGCACUUCUAUGUCAGAUGCCUUUGCCAGAGUGCCCUUCUGCUGCUGUCUGUCACACAGCAACAAAAUGUAACUGAAUAAUUGGUGGGAAAAUUCAAGCCUCUCCUUUAGUACCACCAACAUCCACCUCUGCUGUCAUGGGCCAACAUAAGAUAGGAGGCAUUACUUUCAGAGCAGCCCUCAUAUAUUCAAAAAUCCAGCCAUACAUAUUUUAAUUCUUUCCUUUCAAGUAUCAGGCAGCUACAUUUUUACAUGUGAUGGAACUGAAUGGGACAUACAGUACAAACAAGAAGUCAGCUCUGGGCUUUUCACUUCUAAUAAUCAAAUUCAUAAGACCGCAGAGAAGCUUGUAGCAGGGAUACCACCCUCAUGAUUUUAAAAUGAGGUUGUAGAUUUUAUGUUAUGAAAAUUAAACAAAUGAGAACAAAAUUCAAGAUAUUACAUUAGAGUUUCCAUAUCAAUUUAAUAAUUACUUUUAUAAUCAGACGAUUUACCACAGAUACUAUCUAGAGUAUAAAUGAAUUAGCAUAAUGCAUGAACUGAUUUGCUGAGCUUGUCCAGAGACCACUUUUUAAACUGCAGACUUUGACACACAUUUUUAAUAACAUCCUUAGCAGUUAAAACGUUAUCAAGUUUCAUGAUCAAGUUCCUACAUCCGAUAUGAAAGAAAUAGAGACCCAUUUUAUCUUCUUGGAGUGCAUUUUUGCAACGUAUUUGAGUUUGAUCAUUAGAGUAUAACUGGAGUCAUGUUUUUGCUUCCAACCAAUAUACCCCCACUGAAUAGCAGAGGAGUCCCACUGUUCCCAUGGGACAUAACGUAGAACAAUGCUGCAGUGAUGGAAUAAGAUGCAGGGAAGGUGGAGGGAUGAAAAAAAGAAACAAUCAGUAUCCUUACCAGGCCUGCACCAGGCAGUAUCCAUCUUAGUCAUAAUACCUCUUCAACUACACUUCAUAAGCUAUUGCACAGCACACCUCUCACAAGAAUAGGCAUGUUUUCCAUGUUUCCACGCUUGUCUCAUUUUACAUAACCAGAAUUUGUUCACCCUCACUGUCUCAAUAUAAUGAAUGAGAAAUCAAAUGAGUCAGCAAGAUUCACACCACUGCACUUUUUCCUAACCAGUUUUUCCAAGAAUCCCCAAAGGCAUCAAGAGAGAUGUGGAUUGUUUUUGAUUACCUGAUCUUACAAAGAAGCAAACAAGUCCAAGAACUAUUAGCAUAACAUUUCAGUAAUAAAUUUACAAUGCAUUCAAUGAGGUGAACAAAGAUAAAGAAGCUCAAAACACAGUUGACUCCUUCCGAAGCCUAUUAAGAAUUGUUUGGUAAAAAGGAAAAACCUUUUUUUCAGGUAGACUAUAUUUGAUAUACUUAGAAUAAGUUGAACUUUGUAGAUCAUCAAGGCUUAAGGGAAAACUGGUCCUACACUAGUACUUCUUCAUAUUAAUAAUUUUAAAACAAAUAAUUUAUCCCAGAGCUGUUUCCUAUCAGUUUUACUCCAAUGAAGAGCUCGUAAGUUAGCAUGCUCUCUUCAUCUAGGCCAACUACUUGCUGGCAGAAUGAUAAGCAGAAAUAAAAACCAAAAGUUCCAUGUAAAAAAUAUUUUAUCUUCUCCAAUUUGCUUUUGGUGUGGCUUAGCUAAAAGCUAUUUUACAUACUAAAAACCCUUCUUAAUCCCUCAAACUCAGAUAUUAACAUUUUCAGCUAGCGAAGCCACUUGCGUUAAACUAUUUUUAUAAAUUAGGUGCCUAGAAUUUGCAGUCGAAGCUAAAUUCUUUAAUCAUGGAAACAGACUUUUCAGUUCUGAUUCGCCUGCUAAAUCUCUUCCUGGAGAACUAUCCAGCAGGAGAAAAUGCAUCCUAUGUACAGAUUUCUUGGCUGUACUGUCACAUAUCACCAGGAGCCGUCACUUCAGCAUAAGGAACAUCAAAUUAUGCCUAAGAGGAAAGCAGAACAGCCAGUAAAGAAUAAGACGAGUCAGCUUAAUCAAGCUCACAAUCAUUACAUCUUUUUUGUUAGAGAGGAGAAAACAAAAUAAAACCCUGAAGACGUAUUAGCGCAACAAAGACUGAAGUUAUAAAAAUUACAAAACAUUGCAAUUACCUUCCAAGCAUCUAUACUCAACAUAUCCAUUGAGAUUUAUGUCUAGGCAGCAAUAUAUACUGCAUAGAGAACUGUGCACAUAAGAGGACUGCCAGAAACCAUCAGAUUUGAAAGAGCUCCUAAAGUCAUCAGGGGAAUGAGAGUCAAGAGGUAUAGAACUGCAGCCACAAAGGUAUGGAUUUAGCGUUGCUGCCUUCUACCAUUAGGAGGAACUCAAUAACUUUUCUCUCAGCUAACAAAGGAAUAAGCAGUUUCUGCUGCUUUCCUCUGAAGAAAUAGCUUUCACAGCCAAGGCAUGGAGGACCUGAAUUCAAAUUCCAACUUCAAUGAUGAGAUUUUUGAAACCCAAUCUACUCCCUAUCCACUACCUGGUAUGUCAGUGCAAGGAAUGCUCUCAAAUGCUUUCUCCAUAGGUUUCAGCACUUUGCAAAGAGCAACUGAGUAUUCACUUGGCAGCAAAGAGUAUGCCCAGCUACAGUGUAGUAACUGAGCCACCAGCCUCCCUUGUCUUGGGCAUUUGCUCCAAUGCCUGCCUGCUUGCAGCAGCAGAAGUGCCAGGGGAGGGAGCUGCAGGUGCCUGCAACCAGCUGUGCAAGGAGUACUGAAGUGAGGCCAGCACCAGUCUGGCCCAGGCUCUGGGAAACUCAUUUGACGGAUGCCCUGGCGACCAAGGCCUUUGGGCAACUCUGUGGUGAAAUAAACUCUGAAUAAGGCUUUUGAGGACAGUUGAUUCAUUUAAGUACUCUGGCCUAGCACCUAAACCAGCUGUGGCAUAUAUUUCAAGAAUAUAAAGCAGCUUGAUAAGGCUUCAUUAUUCUCAUUUUUUAAUGGUGGUUUUAAAUGACUAAUAUAAAUUAUUUGCUUACUGUAAGUGUGAUUGGAAAACUUAUUCUGUUCUUAUACAAUCACAUUUAUCAGUAUUCUUUUAAAGAUCCAAAGAUUCUCUAGAAACCAGAAAUGUAAUAAAGAGGCAUUCAUGGUUGUAGAGAUUUGUUGGCACAUUAGCAUUACUUAUUCUGAGCUUCAUUUUUAGUUUCCAGUAUGCCAACUCUGCAUAGAUAUCAUCUCUGUGGUGGGAGCAGGGUGCAGCUGAACAGCUUCAUAGAUAUUCUGCUGGUUGGUGGUGUGUUACAUGUGCAAAGCAGUUUGGUGUUGCUAUUUAGACUUGAUUGGCAGCAAAACACUUCUUGUUUAAAAUAGAAUUUCCAAAUUCACUAAACACAAGUCUUGGCAAGUGAAGAACUGAAUGUCAAGUACCACAGUAGAUGAGCAUAAAGACAUUGCAUACAGUACAAGAUACCAAAGGAAAUUAAAUAAAACCUUGAUGCCAUUUGAGUCCAGUUCAACUCUUUAACCACACAGGAUGGCAAGAUGUUUGUUACAUAACAGCAAAUUCAGAUGGCUUUUUUUUUCUUUUUUAAAUCCUGCCAUUUUUAUAGCAAAGAGCAGAGGAUUAGACAUCCACAGACUCUGAGAGACAGAGAGUGGAGCCAGAAGCAAUAUUUAGCACAGAGUGAAUGAUUCCUGGCAUCGUUUAACUUCUCUACAUCAGGAAUCUGGCAGCCUCUUUUCAAAGAUGCUGAUUGAAUAGUUAAUAUCAGUGUUAUGCAUAGGCUCAAAAUGAGCACAAAAAAAUGAAUGUCUAGGACCUAAGCCCCCAACUUACUUUCAUCUCUCUAUAAAAUACAUACAUACAUACAUAUACACACACACACAGAAAAUGGUGGGGGCAGGGUGGAAAUACCGGGCAGAAUGCCAAAGCCAAGAGAAUGCAGACAAAGGGCAUAGUUCAUCUUCUGACUACACAUCUGUGAAAAAAACCUUUAUACAAUAUAUAUCAAAUUUUUUAGGCACAAGAAAGCCAUAAUGCAACGUAAACUGCUAGUUCUUAAUUUUCACCAGACAGCAUAAUCUGCAAAGUAUGGAAUUUUUUUUUUAGUCAGUAGGAUUAUCCCUGUUUUCUCUCAGAACUGUAAAGCUCUAGCAAGUCUUUCUAAUCAUAAAGAUAGCACAUUUAUAGUCUUUCACCAUACUUAGGAAUUUUGAACUACUGAAACCACAACUAAUCACCCACCAAGCCUGCAUGGAAAUCUGCUGAUCAUUUAAGAAAAGCAGCCUUGUUUUGUUGCCAAAUGUCAAAAUGCAACUAAGUGGUGAGAUGCACACACUGAUUACUCUUGCACUCUAACGUUUGGCAGAAAAAUAUUUAUGCACACACAAGGACGUGUUUAUAGACUUGCACUUUGAGAAAACAUGAAAGACGACAAACCAAAUUGGUUGACAUCCUUAAAGGGGAAGAGGCUAGUAAAAGAAUAAAUACAUUAUACUGGGCCAUAUAAAAUGGUCCAUCAGAAGCACGCUUUCCACAAUUGAGUUUUUUUUUUUAAUCCAUGCAGUGAAAUUCUUCCCGUUUGUCUGACAUAAUCAAGCACCUGAAAUGCACUUUUAGAACUAAUCCAGCAGCAUAGGCCCAACCUAGGUGAGGUUUCUCAGAUGUGGGACCAACCCAACCCACUUUCUCAUUUACUUCAUCUUCUCAAUCACGUGUAUGCACAACUACAGGGAAUUAGAUUUGUUUACCCCAAACUAAUACAAACAAGUUUGCUAAUGGAACAAACAGUGCAUAACUAUAAUGGCUGUUCCUUUUUUACUUGAAGUGGAUUAUUUCUCUGCUUAUCCCUCAAGAUACUGGCAUGGCACACUCAGUCUGUACAGACCCAUUUUGGCCUCUUGUUCAGCUAUAGCUUCAUUCAUGAUCAGCUUUCACAGUUUUUUAUUUCAUCCAGUAACUGAAGUUUGAAUGCUUAGGAGGCAUAGCUGCCUAUUUAACUCUGUUUCAAGGUUUUCCUUUGUCAUAUUUGCUAAAUAUUUAGUUCUUCCUAGACUACUUAUUCUCCACCUCUUUUGAUUUUGCAAGGCUAUGAAGGACCAUAUAUCUUCAGUGCAUAGAGAUAGUUGAUGUCUGAACAGAGCGUGUGGCAUGAAUAAAAGAACCCAGAGGGAAAUGAGUUUCAAGAUCCUAAUUUGAACAGCAGGCAGAAGUCAAAAUCAGGGUUUGAAACUGCCCAAGACAGCAACUGUUAAAGUGCUUUCACUAAGUCCUACUCUCUUUUUUUCCCCAGUGAGCUCUCAUACAACUAUCUUGAAGCAAAGAAGCUUGUAUGUGUGCAAACACACCCAAGCUCUUGGCCACUUAUGUUUCUGCUGAUCUGUUUUAGGGGCAGCAUGUCUAACCUGAAAUUGUUUGCUCCAUAACUUCUCAAAAAGAAAUUGCUGUAAUGAGUUUGACUGAGGAUGCGACAGCAUUGCUUAUGUUCUCUUUUUAGAGGGCAGCCCUGUUGUUUUCUUCCACAUGGAAUUAGUUUCCCUGAUAUGCACAUAUGCAGAUCUUCCUCCCAAAAAAGUUCAGCCAUGACCUUUCUGUUUCUAUUCUGUCACCAUGUGCUGAUAAAAUCCAAAUCUCAUCCAGGGAGAAGGAAAAAAAAAAAGGGAAAACACACACCCAACAAGAAGUGAGUUUAUAUAUAAAUAUUUUCAAAAGACUUUUAUACUAUAUAGGUAAUCCAAUCUAAUUGCAAACACCUUAAGGAGAUUCUGUUUCUAAGUUUCAGAUACACCAUCCAAGAUAUGUGUUUGAGAGUAAGCACUGGAAGGAAGGCAAAGAGCAGGAGAGUGAAAAAGUGACAAAGCUAUUACAGAAAUGUGGUAGCGCUACCUUUUUAUUAUUAUUAUUUUUAAAUUCAGCAGGAGUUUGUCACAACUGCAGUAGCCCACUGACUCAUUUUACACUGAAUAAUUUCCAGCAUUUCCAUGUAAUCACAUCUCAGGUACACAUACUGAAGACAAUUUUCCCACGUUGCAAGCAUAAGUAUAUAGAAGAGGAGAGCAAGAAAGACCAAUAAGCUUCUGCUCACCUUGGCCCUUACAUUACUGAAGGAUACUUCCCUCUCCAAAAAUCUGAGAAAUUCACUGCCUCUGCACAGAGGAAGGAGAAGACUGAAAGAACAGAACUGACUCAGACAAGCACAAUAAUUUCAGCUUCCAUUUUAUAGUUUGCAAAUUUUUGUGUAUAUAUGUCUUUCUCAAGUAGUUUGAAUGAAAUACAAGCUCCAGAGGGAAAAAAAAAAAAAACAUGAUCAAUUUAUCUUAUUUAAUCUCUUGUUGAAGUGCUUUCAUACAUUUAGGAAGAAAAUAGAUCUCAGGAACAAUUUCUUCCUAAAUUUCCUUGCAUUUUUUGCCCCAGAAGUGAGGCAAAUCAGUAUUUUGACUACUGUUAGUUCUCAUUCCUUGCUUCACUAUAUCUUACAUUAGGGAUGCUAUGAACAGCUAACAGCACACAACAAUAAUACUAAACUCUUAUGCAAGAUACAGCCUAGACCUUCAUAUGACAGUUAAGCAUGAUCCACAUUUCACAAGACAAAUGAGAUCCGGUGACAAGAACAGACUGGUUACAUGCUUUCUUUGGUCAUGUUAUAUUCUUUCUUUCAUCCCAUUCAGUAAUUCAUUUCUUCAUCAGUCUUGUAUCCUCUCUUACGUAGCCUAAAGGGAUGGUAUGUGGAACCUUAAACCAGUUUCAAUCAAUGGGAUGAGGUCAGCCUUGAGAUUCAUGUGACAGGCAAGAUUAAAACGUGCUUGCCCCAAGUCUAAGCUGUCUGAAUAAGGCACCAUGUUAUGCUGCCUCUGCUUGUUGUCAGGUUGAAUUGAAAACAAAAGUUAAAUUAAAAGACAGCCAGAUCAUUAUUUCUCCUUUCUGCCCCUUCCUCAAGCGCCUAAGGUCAUUUUCCCUAACAAAAACGAAAGCGCUUGUUGGAAGUGUUUUUGUGCUAAACAGCAGUGGUUAAUUUCUUGCAACUAAUUAGUUAUUCAAGUGAAAGUAUAACGAUCCUCCAACAUGAUUGAAAGUGCUUCAACCAAGUUUCCUGCUAACAGCAUACUUCUAGAGAAGGUGCAAUAAAUCAGCAGGGUUAUGGAAAUCUUUAAACAAAGCAUGUCUACGACAGGAACCCAUUAAAGAUGUAGCCAUGUAAUAUUUAUGUACCUAGCUGACUUGUGCUUUUAACCUAGCACUUUCAGCCAUAGCUUUUUAGCACCUGGGUCAUUCACUAAGAAUGAAAUUCACCCUAUCUGCUAAAAGCCAGCUUAAUGUCUCUGCAUUAGGUGUCCAGACAUAGAGUUUACAUAGGAUUUAAGCAGGGGAGCCCUCCCACUGAAUGGAAUUUCAUCCUGAGUUUUCCAAAGAAAAAUACAAAUAGAACACCUUUACACUGUGUAGUAUUUAAUUAUUGAAUUAAACUCCCCAGUUACCAUUAGAAGGGUUUUAGAAAUACCAUGAGGUAAGGAUGUAAAAAAAAGCCAACAACAAAAACAAAAGAUCAUGAACAACUGAAAUUCCCACAGUCUCUCAGAACAGCCAGUGUCACCCUAUGGUUGUAUAGAUUAUGGUUUUAUUAUUAUUUUUAGUGGUUACAGAGGCUGAUCUCUAAACCUGAUGCUCUCCGUAAAGGUGCUGACUGCACUGGAAUCUUUUUUGACAUACUACUAACCAGUACAGACUGGAUGUUUAAAUAUGCCCAGAAGUAGAAAAGAGCAAGACUCAGUUGUGUGGAAAUACAUUUUUAUUAUGUUUGGGCCUUUUGGAUGUUACAGAUGUAUAAAUCUGAUAGCCUUAGAUCUCCAAAAGAAAGAGAAAUCCUCUUUUCUCCCAUCAUAUUCUACUGCUUGUGCUGUGUGUUUACACGAAUUUUUAAAACACACACAAGCACAUGUGAAGCAAAGGCAAUGUUUUCAUAAUCCCCAAAUCCUUUGGCUAUACAUGUUUUCCCUCAUCUGAUUCUGUCAUUUACUUUAUUGCCAGUCUUUUAAGUUCAUCUCCCACAGUUUUAAGAGACAGAACUUGGAUUCAUUAAUCAGUUUCAGUCAAGGUCCCAAAACUUGGGUUUUUUUCUCCCCCUUCUCCUGGCUUACUCUUCUGUCCUGCAGCAGAUAACUACAAAAAGGAAAACCUCACUGCUGUGAGGCUGGAAGAUGGGAGCUUCAAGAAAGUGUGUAGGAAUGAUGUUUCCCGGGAGUCUGGGAAAGGGGAGAAAGCAAAGAGGAUAUAAGAAAUUAGCAGGAAAAAGGGACUGAAGGACAAAAGAGAUUAAACAUCACUCUCCCUUCCUAAUAACAUCAUCUUUGCUCUCACCAUAGGUUUUUUGGGCCAAUGACUACUUUCAACUCACACUUUCUGUUGGAAAAAUAAAUUAAGAGUCCAGUUUAAUUUUGUCAGUAGAAAGUUUAAAGCGGUCACUGGAGCACAAAGUGCUUUUCAAAAGGCUGCUGAACUGAACAGGGACAAGGAGGAAGAUGCUGGGACAGCCACAAAAGUACAGACAAAUUGAAAACACUAUGAGUGUACCAAUUUUCAACAAAAUAGAUAAAAAGCUUUUAUAAGAGUUCCUGCAAUCCUAUAACUUUUGUUAUGGGCUUUGUUUAGACAAUACCUAAAAACACAAUUGCCAGAGCAGAAAACAAGUGUUUUGUGUGUUGAACUUAUAUAUAGGAAAACAACAGUAAGUGAACUAGGCAUCAACUUCAUGAACAUGUAAGAUUACUCUUCACCCAUGCUGUAAAUCAUUGGAUCUAGUACAAGUAAUUGUACUGCAAUGUUUUUUGCUAGGCUAAGCAUUUCAGCUGUGUGCCCAGUCCUUCCAAGUCUGAGCUUAUGCUGUAUUCAGAGCUUUGUAGGGUUUAGUCAAUAACAUGUUUGUUUUGAAUGGUUUUUCCUAGAUAACAGUAACACAAACCCAUAGCUUGUGUAACAAAAAUCCAAAGCUUGUUUACAUCAUUUAAUAUGCCUGAAAGAUUAAGCUCAAGACUGUAAAAAUAAUAAUGGAAAAAAAAAAAGCAGAAAAAGCACUUCUUUAGAAGGGUCUCUGCUGUUGCACUACCAGAAGGCAAAGAGCAUAUUACGUUAACUAUGGGCCAGAAACUGUUUUGCUCUUUUAAACCGCAGCAAUGACUUGCAUAAAAAGACUUCAAGGCAUUUCCUCUUCUCCCUGAAGAUAGCCAUAAGUCUUUCUACUGCCCUAGGAUGUGCACUGAAAUGACUGCAAGACAGGCACAUCUUUUGCAUCCUAAACAGCAGCCUUUAUUUAUCAAAACACACAGAACAUGCAAUGGAGAGUCAAAACAAAGCAAAACCAGCAAUUCCAACAAUCCUCAGAAAACUUUGUUCCGAAUUGAGCAGUAUGUCCUGCUCAUAGAUGGACGUUCCAUUGCCUGUUUAGCAAAUGCCCCUCAUUUUCUUAACUUAAAAUCAUGCCUUAAGAAAAUUAUUUCAUCAGCAUUUAUACAUAGACACCCAUGAAGUUUUCAACAUAGUCUUGAAUUUGUGGUUUAACCUUCAUGAAGCAUACUGUUAUUUUCAAGGAUAAAUUUGAAGCACAACCUCAUUUUAAAGUAUAUGUGGAAAAUACUGAGCUUGUCAGCAAUAAAUACCUCAGCGUAUAGAAAUUUCGCAAAGGAAAAAACCCACAAAAAUGCCAAAACAAUUACAGAAAAGCAGAUACUAUCAUCCUUACAUUUGCAGAAUAACAAUUCUAACUGAACGUCCUCUGCCUUUUGCUAGUACUGUGUGAUAUACAUAAUAUUUGCAAACGUGUACACGUAUAUAUUUUCCAUAUCUGCAUGCUACAUAAGAAGGUCCUGAUAUUUAAACAAAGCAGAGACAAAACCUAACAAGGUGUCUCUCAACCAGUGAGGACACAAAUCCCUCUCUAAAGGGCCUGGGGCAGCGUGCCUCAAAUGCUAAUAGCUUGAGUUGUGUGCAAUAGCCCUAUAUUGUUUAUAUAGCACUUCACAUGUUCAAAGCACUAUGAGAUAUCAGCCAUCACUACACUUUUACGAGGCUCUAAGUAUUACCCACUAAAUGUUAGGGUUCAAAUGACUUGCUCUUGAUCAAAAGAAACUUUGUGCAGCAGGACCAUAAUUAUUUGAAUUCAGUAAUUCUGACAGUCCAUUCCUAUAGUGACAAAAAAAGGGGGGAGGGGGAAAUGGGAUAUUUAAAGCCAGUUGCAACUGCACUUUGUUCUGGCUAUGUUAAGUACAGGCAAUGUAGAAUCCCAAAGCUAACUCUCACAAAAAACAGCACCUCCAAAGAAAAUGAGAACUUCAAUGAUUUUUUUCCAUUUUAAAAGCACAAAUACAAAAACUGUUUUUUAAAGAAUUGGUCGUGUUUCUCUGAGUAUAUGUAUGUCAUUAUCACCGUGAAGAACCUAAAAUACUGUAGAGAAACAGACCAGAAAACUUAAUAUGCGAGUCAUAUCAUCUGCUCUGAAACAGGUUCUCCUUUUUUGCUGCUGCUGUUUCGAUAAAGGUUUGGUUUUGAUUUUUUCUUCUUCCUUUAAAAAUCAGGAGGAGGAGCAGGCAAAGACCAAGGCAACUCGUGAUAGGACUUAAAUCACUACCCUUUAGUGAUACAUAAUAUCUUCCCAUUUUUAGACAGAUGUUCAUUCUAUGGAAACCUCAGUUGCCAUCGCUGAUACUUAUUAACUUAGAGUCAAAAUAUCAAGUCUCCCUUCCCAUGAAGGAAACACAAUGGAGCCGAUGGUGAAAACCAGCCAGUCACAGUUUUGCUACCUAAAACUAAAUCCUUCCUUGAAAUAAGGAAAGCGGUGCUCAGGGACAUGAUUUAGCAGAAGGUUGUUAGAGUUAGGGUAGUAUGGUUAGGUUGCUGUUGGACUUGAUGAUCUUUCAGGUCUUUUCCAACCUGAGCAAUUCUAUGAUUCUAGGAUUCUAAUAAAGGCUGAACUGGAUCGAUACUGAAGAUUUUUGUACUUACAGCUUAAAAAUCUUCAUGCAAAAAACAUAAAUAUUGAGAUUUCAAAAUGAGAGAAUGAAAACUUUUUUUUAAACUUUGCAUUUAGCACACAUCCUAUCAUACACAACUUACUUUCCAACAUCUUACAUUUAAACUUGCAUAUAUUGCCUUUCGUUUCCAUACAUACCAUAUGUUUUCAGAACACAGCCUCACAGUUACUGGCAUUCAAAUCUUAUCUGCAGGAUGACAUGGGAAAUAUGUAGUACUGAGACAAAAAUGUAGGCCUCUACACACAAUUCAGAUUCAACAAAUAAGAGAAGUGCUCCUGUUUAAGCAGGGGGAGGGUAAGAAAUUCCCUUCAAAAGCAGUACAUAGUACAGAGUUUAACUAACAGAACCUCUUGUGUUUUAGCCAAGUUGAUCAUGGUAUGCGUAACAUUUACCCUAUCUAUCCUACAGCUUCUAUUAGACAUUCUUGGGUACAGGCCACUCAGAACUCUAUGCCAGACUGUUUGCAAUAACCAAAAAUCCAAAGUUACGUUACUGAGAUAGCUUCUAAAAUAUUAAAAAUUUAAGCACAAUGCCAGUAGGUGAGCAUUGCUUCACGGAUAUUAAUGUAAAAAGCAGUUACAAAUCUCCAUCUACUGACCUAAAGAACAGAUGUUUGCAUAUGGAUUUAUUAACAUAGAAAUAUGUGUAUAUCUUCCAUAAGUAAUAACGUGUCCCAGUAACAAAGAAUGAAGAACUGUUGUCCAAAAGGACUGGAAAAUGGCAUGCAGUAUUAGAAUAUACUCACCAAUUUCUUGGCUUUAAAUACAAGACAAAGCUAAUAGGUCCAGCACAGUAAUCCUCCAUGUUGGAAAAACACAUUUUCAAACAAGACUAACAUGAAGGAAUACUCAAAUUGCAGAGUCCACUUCAAUUGUUGACAUGUAAAAGUACAUUUAGGUCAUAACAAAGCAACCAUGAUCUAAUAAAUAAGAAUAGCCAUUAAUUUUCAUUGAGUUAUUUUAAUGCAGUAAGCAAAAACCAACAAAAAUCAUAUUGCAUUGAGUAUUAAGGUGCGGGAGCAAGUCCAAAGAAGGGCAACAAGGCUUGUGAAGGGCUUGGUGAAUAUGUGCUAUGAGGAGUGACUGAAGGAACUGGGGCUGUUUUGUCUGGGGAAAAGGAGCUGAGGGGAGACCUUAUUGCUCUCUUCCAAUAUCUGAAAGGUGCUUAAGACCAAAAGUGGGGUUUGUCUCCUCACUGGUGACAGAAUAAGCGGAAAUGGCCUUAAGUUGUACCAGGGUAAGUUUAGGUUGGAUAUCAGGAAAAAACUUCUUAACUGGAAGGGUUGUUAAGCAGUAGAAUAGGCUCCCCAGGGAGGUGGUUGAGUCACCAUCCCUGGAUGUGUUUAAAAACCGUUUGGAUGUGGUGCUCAGGGACAUGAUUUAGCAGAGGGUUGGUAUGACAGUAUGGUAAGGUUGUGGUUGGUCUCGUUGAUCCUGAAGGUCUUUUCCAACCUGGGCAAUUCUGUGAUUUUAUGAUUAUCACAUGAAAUAUUGAUUUGGAAGGGUUUUUAAUAACAAAAUUUAAUGAAACAGUAAUCAGGUAAAAAUUUUGGUGAGCAAAGCAUAUUUUCAAACCCUAAAUACAUUCUUUUUGGAAGUACAGUGGAAUCUUUGACCAAAUAUCACGAUUGCUCCUCACAUUUGCCCUGCUCCUAAACUAGCCUGGCUAAUAAGCAUCCUACCUCAAACUGUCCUGUAAACACAUAAUACUACUUGACAGGUUUUACUUCAAAAGCACAGUCAGGUUUUGGAAAAUAGACCUGUUAAGAAACCUAGUUAAUGGCUACAAGCAUGUGAGCUUACAGGCUUGGAGAUGUACUGGUUUCUGGGCCAGCAGAACUACAAGAGAACCCAAGAGACUGCACACUGCACUGUGACACGUAUGCAUAUCACAGAAUUUUUGGUUUGGUUUAAGAACAGCCACAGUAUUACUUUUUCACCUCCAAAAAGCAUUUCCUGUGUGCCAUGCUAUUUUCCCCUUCUUUUCCAUUAGUCAAGAACAUGGCUAAUUCUGCAUAGCUUUAGAUUUCUCCACACCAUUACAUACCAUUGCAGUAUUCUCUCCUGAUUAGGGUGACAAGCAUGAGUACUUUGAAACAUGAUACAGCUGCUACUCUUCUCCAGAAGUGGCUAUACUCCAGUAAAUACUCCCUGAAACAUCUUUUUCCAACAGAGGUUUAAAAACAUGUAACUAUGUUUCCAUAGGUUGACAGCAAUACAAAAACAUUUGAUCACCUAGCUGAAAAAUACUGGCCUUUAGCAUUACUGCAGAGGUAAUUAGAAGCCAUACUUCAACCAACUGCAGAAACAACUGCAGUUAGUGUUUGUAUAACACAAUUAGAGUCUUAUAUUACAGUGAAGGUUAUUGGGUUCUCUUCUUGCAAUUUUUAAGAUCAAAGAAGAAAUGAACACUUUUCAUUUUGUCAGGUAAAGACCUUCCUUUUGAUGGCUGUACAGAGUCUUUACUUCCAGCGUAUAACUCAGACAUUCAUGAAUAAAUUGAAUCUCUAAUAACAGUCAGCUGGAUUUAAUUCCUCCUCUUGAUGGAAGCACAACACUGUCAAUACACAGUGAGAUUUAAUAUUGCUGUUAAUUUACUGCAGGUAAAAGGUAGAUGCUAGAUCUUCAUGUUGUAUCUAAAAAUAGCUUCAGAUAAACAUGGAAAAAAAAAAGAUGGUAAGAACUGAUGAAUGAUCAUUCUACUUCAUUUUUUUUUUUUUUCCAGAGGAACAUCCAGGUGCCAGCUGGUGGAAAGGCAGAUGCCACUGAUUCCAAUAGUCUUGCACCAGUUUACAUUGACAGAGUCUGAUCCUAUGUGCAUUAGAGUUACUUUUAGGCACUCACACUGGAACUCACUUCAGUGACAAUUAAAAAUAUAUCCACGCAUGACAUUACAUCCUGUCCCCAAGUGUAUGACUGGAAGCCUGUUGACAGUCUGUGGGAGAGGGCAAGUAGAAGUAGCCAAGAACUAUGUCCAUGAGAUAACUUUGUAAGAGGAGUAUUAACCCUAAUUUUCAGUUGUCUUUUUUUUUUUUUUUUAAUGUGACCGUUUGCCUACAGAAAAAAAAUCUCAGCUCCACCUUGCAGUAGCAAUUCAAUGCUUGCAAAGGAAAAAACAAAAUAAACCAUGAUGCUGUAGACCGUGUAGAGUGUCUAAGUAAGUUAAAAAAAGACUGGUCUCAUCAUCUAGAAUUGUAAGAAACCCCCCGAACUGAGAUCUGUUUGUUCAACUAUUUGUUCCUGAAGAUGCAGCUCAUGUAGCAACUGAAGUAAUUGUUUGUCUGUACAGCGCAACACCCAUAACUCCAAUUUAGGUCAGGCCAUCAAGAAGAGGAAAAAGGACUGAAGAUGAGAUGCUCUACUUCACACAGUUGCCCUCUGGAAGGGCUGGCAAAGGCAGUCACUUAAAUUAAGUACAGGUCAUCAGACAGGAUAUCUAAUCUAUUCCUAAAACAGGCAGCUCUCGCAGUCCAAAUCCCUAUGGCCUUUACAGCAACACAACGAACUACUUCCUCAUGUACCUCUGUCAAUUCACGUUAGGUUCCUAUUUUUUUUUAAAGCGAUAUUUCUUGUACACCAUGACCCUAUUGCUCACAGCAAGGAAAGUGCUUUGGUUUAUUUAUGACCUACUAACCUUAAAUAAAAAAACCAUACAUCCAAUCUGAAUGUUCACAUAAGCCUGCAGAUCUGAAAUAAAACUUAAAGUAAAGCUGGCAUUUGUAAUAGCUAGCUAAGCCCAGUAAGGGAUUUAGAAAAAAAAUUAAAAUUAAAACCAGAUGAGAGAAGAUGAAAGCAUUUUUACCCUGCAUAACCUGCACACAUCAUGAAUGAUGGCUGAAGCUCAGGAAUACUUUUUUGUGUUUUUGUACUUACAAGUUUCAACCCACUUCAACAGCGGCUAGGUAACCAAGGAAAUACUGAGGUUUUCCCAUUACAGGGUGGGGAGGGAAUAAUAAUAACCCAUGAAAGUAAUUCCUUUUAAGAUGCAAUCCAUCCAGCCACGAGCUCUACACAGCUCCUCUCUUUCCCUUACACCCCAUCCUAACUGCCAGGUAUCAGUCUGGUCAGACCUCAUAUUGAAAUAUGAUGUGACAGAGGGAAGCAGGGAGUAAGACUGUAGGAAUAAGUACUGAAAGAAAUGGCAUAAAGAAGGAAAGUUUACAGCAGGGAAUAUGGGAAACACAAGUGACCCUAUAUAUGUUUUGCUAGAACAAUGCUGAACAGAUGCAAAUGCAGAAAAGACUAUUCAGUUGAAGAGUUUUAUUCUCUCAUAGCUCACCCUGAUCUAAAGAACACCCUUCCUCUACAUCCAUAGAGUUUAAUUGUGAUACGGUCAGUACAAAUAAGUGGGGAAAAAAAAGGAAAAAUAAAAAUCAAGCUUCAGACCUAAGAUAUCAGCAACAAACAACUCUUGCUGCUGAACCAGCAUCAAAUAAAGGGAGGAGAGAACAUCUCCACCACAGUUGGUUGGAACUAGAACUCACAGAUACUCAUGAUCACAGUGGAAUUCCUAAACAAAAGAAAAAAUCUACUAGAAAGGAGAAAUUAUUUACGUUCCAUUCUUCUGUAGUUCUCCAGCAGGGUAUAUUAAUGCCUCUGUUCUUUAGAUAUAUUUGAUAGAAAUACAGUUAUCUGUACAAGAAGAGUAAUUUGUUGAAAGAAAUAGAUACAAAGUUCUUGACACAGCAUUUGUUUAAAAAAGAAUAUACGCAGGCAGUAUAUUUAUGACCUGAAGUCUUUUGGUGCUACCUCCCUUUAUGGUACUUUAAACAAAAUGAACAGAAAAUAUUUUAUAAAUAUUUUUAUUUAAAUGUAGAAAUCAAUGAGAGAGUACAAACUAGCUUGCCCUCUGGUAAAAGAUUUAACAAGUAGGAACUCCUAGAAUCCAAUGAAUCACUUACCAUUUCAGUGCAGCAAACUAAGAGCAGCCCUAACUAAAUGAACUGAGACCAACAAAGCUGCAAGAGAACAACCUUCUGCAGGAGAAUUGCUAACAAGCACAAGUAAGGAAAAAUCCCUGUGUUACCAUUCUGUGCCUUGUGCUACAGCUUCAGCACUUCUUCCCAUAAAACAUUAAAAUUGUAACCCUAUAUGUUGUAUGUGUAAAAAUAUAUGUGUAUACAUAGAGUUAAAAGUAUAAGGAAAAAUUAGUUGGAAAGCUCAGAUAGAUGCUGGAAAAAAAAGCUUGUGCUACUGUGGAAAUUGCUAUGCACUUCAAUUUGUAAUCAUCAAGUUCUGGAUAUAAACAGGUUGAAGACAAAAAAAGAAACAUGAAAAUAAAUUUAGGUCAUCAAACCUCGAUGUAAACUCAUCAAGAAGUGAAUACUGGCAGAUUUUACUCUGCUUACUUUAUAUUUUUAUUCUACUGGUAAAGUAUAAACUGUAACACUGAUUCACAAUAUUCUUGGCAGGAUCUGUUAAUAAACGGGUGAAACCUUAUGUUUCUGUUUGCUAUGAAGUUCAGUUUUGUAAUAACACAGACAACAUUAAUCAAUCGACUUCUGCCUGGAUGGCCAACAACAUAGUUACAGCUUGAAUAAAUGAAAUACCUUUUCUUUCCAUAGAAAGACAUGUGAGAAGCUGCCAGCUCCAUGCAUGAAGAAGGAAAUGGGAUAGACAGAGAAGGGUGCUGGUACUGGUAAGAGAAGAAUAACUGAAAUUACAUCAAUUGUAUGAUAAAAAUAAUCAUGUCAAUUUUGAUUUUCCCCCCUCCUUUCAGACAUUUAAGGAUGCUGUCAAGUCAAUGGAGUUCUCUUGUAGUGGUUGCUUCAGUGAACAUUCAACGCUGUCGGCCUUCACACCGAAGAUAGAAACCUAACCAGCACAUGAGGUUUCUCCCCUACUCUGCCACGCUUUACAAAAAAGGUCACAAUCAACAUUCAUUGCUGUCGGUGGGUUUAACUAUGUGGACAAGCUCACUGAACAAUGAAUGCAACUGUGGCCCCACAUUUUACAGGUGCAUUUGGGAGGAAUGUCAGCUCUGAAAGGAAUAGUGAGAAACAGACAUUUCUUAUAGGUUACGUUUUUCUGGUCAAAAAUUUGUUAAGGAUAUUCAAUUAACUCUUCUUUGUUAUUAAAUGUAUUUAACUAUGUUGACUAAAAAAAAAGCACUGCAUUUUUCUGGAAUAUCACCCUCACAGGGUUCAGCACCUCUGAAACUGAAAUAAUGCUUGUUCAGUAUGUAUGUGGAAAAAAGUAAUAAUAUAGAGAACUUGGUAUAUAUGUACUCCUCAGGACUAUGCAUAAGAGGAAAGAGUAUUUAAAUGUUAAAUCUUAAUUAACUAGGUAUUAUGGAAUAGUUUACAGAAGUCUCUUCUAUACUUGUCAAGACAAAACCAGAACUUUUCUAGUGGACAGGUAACAGAAAUAGAUGUAUACCCACUAUCAAAUAGUUAAAUCGUAAAAUUACUCUAAACUUUGGGUACUUGUGUCACACUCAGUAUUGCUAACACUAAUGAAAAAAUAAAAGUGUAAUUAAAGCUCACUGUUCUGUCCUUAUUUUCUUACAACCUUUGUUUAACCCAGC
ensembl:lncRNA